AUUUUACCUAGAGGUAUAUAUUGGGAUAUUGGAUAAAGAUUUUAUUAUGUGUGUAUCAGCUAGUUAUAUACUAUGUACUGGUGAAAUUAAGUUCGGUAAACUAUGUAUUAAUUAUUGGAUUUCGGUUGCACAGUGGAAUAUGAAUUUCAAAAAUUAUUAUUAUUUUUUUUAUUAGAACAUACUUUUAACUCUUAAAAGCAGCAAACGGAAACUCAAUCUCUGAAAGACCUUGCUGAUUUCAAUCAAACAAAAUAUGCAUAAUAAUUAAGAUAAGAAUUAUACCUUUCAGAAGACAAUGAUCAAAUACAAGAACAAUCUCCACAGGACACCCACUUGGAUGUCCUCUAAUGAUAGUCCACACAUGAUCGAUCAUGGAUCUUUCCAAUCUGUUGCUAUGUUGAAGAUAGCUUCACAAGAACGCAGCCAACUUAUCUUCUCAAGAAUGAGUGCACCGCAACCUGAUGACCUUUAAAACUCUAUUAGAUUAUGCCAAAAUUCUUUUUCCAAAAGAUUGAUACACCUAGAGCGGAUUAAGAU
rnacentral:lncRNA from 1 species